rnacentral:rRNA from 1 species
AACGAACGCUGGCGGCGUGCUUAAUACAUGCAAGUCGAACGUGAAGUGUAGCAAUACACUGAAAAGUGGCGAACGGGUGAGUAACACGUAAGUAAUCUGCCUCUAAGAUUGGGAUAACCCUGCCAACGCGGGGCUAAUACCGGAUGUGGUCAUGGAGACGCAUGUUUUCAUGAUUAAAGGAGUGAUCCGCUUAGAGAUGAACUUGCGGCCCAUUAGCUAGUUGGCGGGGUAACGGCCCACCAAGGCAACGAUGGGUAGCCGGCCUGAGAGGGUGGACGGCCACAUUGGGACUGAGAUACGGCCCAGACUCCUACGGGAGGCAGCAGUAGGGAAUUUUGCGCAAUGGACGAAAGUCUGACGCAGCAACGCCGCGUGAAGGAUGACGGCCCUCGGGUUGUAAACUUCUGUUGGAUGGGAAAAAAAGCCUCGUAAGGGGAAUUGAUGGUACCAUUCGAGUAAGCACCGGCUAACUACGUG